AAAAGAUAGGACCUGUACUUUACUUUCCUCGGAUCCUCUGGGGGAAAUGGUAGAUCUUUCUAUCCAUGAAAUAUUUUUACACAUAAAGCCUGAGCUCAUGGGAGGAAGGCAAUCUAGGAUGCAUAAACUGGGCCCAAGACUUCAUUAGGAAAGCAUGGAACAAGCAGGCCUAUGCAGUAUCGUCCACUGUCUUCACAUUUGCAUUCCUUGAUGAGGCUGACCUAAUGGACAAAUGCGUGUGGUUGUGGGCCAAGUUGGAGAAAACUGAUUGUAUGGGUCCCAGUCCUGCACUUGAAGGCUGUGUGUCAUCUACUGAAUCAGUUACAUGGAAAGCACUGAAAGGCCAGUAGAGAGGACUGAAAUGCAGUAGGUAAUU
rnacentral:lncRNA from 1 species